GGGCUGGUUUCUCCAGUAAUU
rnacentral:miRNA from 15 species